UUUUUGGGCUUGGUAAUUGGAAUGAGGGAGAGUUAAACGGACCAUCGAGUAUCCAUUGGAGGGCAAGUCUGGUGCCAGCAGCUGCGGUAAUACCAGCUCCAAUAGCGUAUAUUAAAGUUGUUGCAGUUAAAAAGCUCGUAGUUGGACUUGUGUGCGCUGUCCGCGGGUGGCCUGCGCCUAAAAGGGCGUUUCGGUUCGGCCCCGGUGGCGCCUUGAAAUCUGCAGCUGGGGGGACGUUGGCCUUAACUGGUCGGCGACCGCACGCCGGCUGCUCGGUUACUGCGAGAAAAUUAGAGUGUUCAAGGCAGGCAUUGGGUGCAAUUGAAUACAUUAGCAUGGAAUAAUAAAAUAUGGCUCCUGCCGUAUUUUGUUGGUUUUGACUGGUGGGAGUAAUGAUUGAUAGGGACGGUUGGGGGUGCUAGUAUUGAGCGGCCAGAGGUGAAAUUCAUGGAUUCGCUCAUGACUAACUUAUGCGAAAGCAUUCACCAAGGACGUCCUCUUUAAUCAAGAACGAAAGUUGGGGGAUCGAAGACGAUCAGAUACCGUCGUAGUCUCAACCAUAAACUAUGUCGACUUGGGAUCGGCGGUAGUUUUUUCAUUAAGACUCUGUCGGGACCACGGGAGAAAUCAAAGUGUCUGGACUCUGGGGGAAGUAUGGUCGCAAGGCUGAAACUCAAGGAAUUGACGGAAGGGCACCACCAGGAGUGGAGCCUGCGGCUUAAUUUGACCCAACACGGGGAAACUUACCAGGUCCAGAGAUGUAGAGGAUUGACAGAUUGAAGCUCUUUCUUGAUCACUUCGGUGGUGGUGCAUGGCCGUUCUUAGUUGGUGGAGUGAUUUGUCUGGUUAAUUCCGUUAACGAACGAGACCUCAGCCUGCUAGUGUAGUCGGCUGGAUUGCCUUUGGCGAUCCGUGAUUUCGACUUCUUAGAGGGACAAUCGACGCGCAGUCGAUGGAAGUUUGAGGCAAUAACAGGUCUGUGAUGCCCUUAGAUGUUCUGGGCCGCACGCGCGCUACACUGCUGGGCUCAGCGAGUUUUACUUGGCCGAGAGGCCCGGUUAAUCUUGUGAAAUCCCAGCGUGCUUGGGCUCGCCUCCUGCAACUGGAGGCGCCAACGAGGAAUUCCUAGUAGACGCAGGUCAUCAACCUGCAUCGAUUACGUCCCUGCCCUUUGUACACACCGCCCGUCGUUCCAUAAGAGUGAGGCAUCCGGUGAAUUCUCGGGAGAGCCUGGGCGUGGCCAGCAAUGGUCUGCUCGGGUUUGAACUUGCAUAAACUUGGUGCCUAUGAUUAGGG
rnacentral:rRNA from 1 species